rnacentral:rRNA from 1 species
AUGCAUGAAAGAAAAGUUUCAUUACAUGAUGAUAAGGAACAAGAUGUGAACAUAAACAAAUCAAAGUUGAUGAGACAUAUGAUUAUCUCCCACAAGGCACUUUGGUGUCUCAGCAACCAGGUCGCCACCGACCACCACGAUGGCUCACCGCGAUGCCCUCCCGCCACCCUAUAUACGACACCAGUGGCGAGAUGGGCGGGAUCUUUUUGGCGUGCCGGCACACAGGAACGACACACACCAUACAACCUGAAGGAUACGUUCAUCAGGCUUGACAUGACCCUCACCGAUGCCGCAUUGCCGCUUCUGUUGCUGGAGAUCAGCCAAAGAGUUAGCUUGUUGCCGCUUUGCUUCAAUGGUUGCUUCAAUGCUCUUCGACUCUCCGUAAUGAGCAGCUGA